AGGCCACGUAACAUGAUGGUUUUGCUUUCUUUCUCAUCGUUAAUGUCGUUCCUGUAGUCGUGCUCUCCAUAGUCGCCAUCAGAAUGGUAGCCAUCUUCUGAUUUGUCACUGUUCCUGCGCUCCCGCUCCCUCUGAGAAUCCAGCACCCAGAAUUAACUACCGCAAUUUAUAGCAGCCGGCCCCCGCAAAACCAGCGAAAACAAAGCAAAACCAAACCCACCGAAUGCCCGUACGACCAUCCUCCUCGGGUUUGAGCCUGACGCCCUCGGGCUAAACACCAAGCUCAAAUUUCCCCUCUCAUCUUCACUCAAGAAAACCCCCGGGAUGUCAACCCUGGCACCGUGCACUGCGGUACCCCGGUCCCAGGACCCCAGGCUGUGAUGAUGUUGCAAGAGAAGCCUAUUGACUGCCUGGACACCACAGUGCAGCAGCAAGUCAUGCUGGCCAUCACCAGCAUGAGUAGAGCUGGACUGCUUCAGCACAACAAGGACAGCAUCCUGGAAGCCUGUUUCAAGAGUGUCUUCAGCUUGCCUGCCUCCACAGCACAGCCAGGGCUUUGUGGCUUUCCUCUACUCCAAGGUGUGCCAUGGGGGGAAACAUUAGGACCUUUUCUGCCCCAAGCCCCCUUUCUGGACACCAUAGGGCCAUGGCUGACCAUCACAGACUUCCAGGGCUGUUCCCACGAAUUUUUAUUGCUUGCAGACCCUGGCUGGUCUCUGUGGCGAUCUGCAGAGCAUCUCAAGGGUCUGGCCUUGGUACAGGGUCUCCACAGGCAGUGACCAUCUGGGCUUGGUUGGACCCAGCAGAGCACCCUGCCACAGCUCCCACUCUGUGUUUCAGAUACUGGAGUGCUCUGACUGCGAGGACGAGCUGGACUGUGUCUGGUAGUGGGGUUGGAAGGCUUGGGUGGCAGUGUCCUGCCCUCACGUGGCAGAAUCCUUCUGACCCCCGAUAAACCAGCUCCAAGCAUCCACAACAAAACCAAACCAAACAAACCCAAAAUGUUUCCAUCCGUGUCCCUAUUUUUCAGCCUUUCCCACAUUUUUAAUGAAGAAAAAAAAAAACAAAAAACCACUUCCACUGAAGAUUCACUUCCAGUCAGUGUGGAAACAGGAUCACAAAAUCACAGAAACAUCCAGGCUGGUAAAGCCCCUCAGGAUCAACAAGCCCAACCUAUAACCCUACUCAACGAGACUCAGCGGGCUGCCUCAGGUCAGCUUUGUGGCGGCAGAGCGGCCGUAUUGUAUAGAAUGGAGUCUGAAUUGCUCAAGA